GUUGGGCGUAAAGGGUGCGUAGGUGGUUGAAUAAGUUAUCUGUGAAAUCCCCGGGCUCAACCUGGGAAGGUCAGAUAAGACUGUUUGACUCGAGUAUGGGAGAGGGUAGUGGAAUUUCCGGUGUAGCGGUGAAAUGCGUAGAGAUCGGAAGGAACACCAGUGGCGAAGGCGGCUACCUGGCCUGAUACUGACACUGAAGCACGAAAGCGUGGGGAGCAAACAGGAUUAGAUACCCUGGUAGUCCACGCCGUAAACGAUGUCAACUAGCUGUUGGA
rnacentral:rRNA from 1 species